rnacentral:tRNA from 1 species
UCUCUGGUGGUCCAGUGGCCAGGACUCUGCAUUCCCAAUGAAGGGAGGCCCAGGUUUAAUCCCUGGUCAGGGGA